rnacentral:misc_RNA from 1 species
AGCAGCCGCGGUAAUUCCAGCUCCAAUAGCGUAUAUUAAAGUUGUUGCAGUUAAAAAGCUCGUAGUUGAAUUUCGGGACCAAUAUGUCGGUCGUACUUUGUACGUACUAGCAUUAUUGGUUUCUCCCUUCUGAAGAACCGCGAUGUCAUUAAUUUGGUGUCGUGGGGAAUCAGGACUGUUACUUUGAAAAAAUUAGAGUGUUUAAAGCAGGCUCGCGCUUGAAUACAUUAGCAUGGAAUAAUGAAAUAGGACGUUUGAUUCUAUUUUGUUGGUUUCUAGGAUCGACGUAAUGAUUAAUAGGGAUAGUUGGGGGCAUUAGUAUUCAAUUGUCAGAGGUGAAAUUCUUGGAUUUAUUGAAGACUAACUACUGCGAAAGCAUUUGCCAAGGAUGUUUUCAUUAAUCAAGAACGAAAGUUAGGGGAUCGAAGACGAUCAGAUACCGUCGUAGUCUUAACCAUAAACUAUGCCGACUAGGGAUCGGAUGAUGUUAAUUUUUUAAUGACUCAUUCGGCGCCUUACG